GAGGGCCUGCUCAGUGAGUUUACAUGUUAGAGGGAGUGGGGUAUAGUGACACAGUAACAGAGGGAUUGAGGGCCCUGCUCAGUGAGUUUACAUGUUAGAGGGAGUGGGGUAUAGGGACACAGUAACAGAGGGAUUGAGGGCCUGCUCAGUGAGUUUACAUGUUAGAGGGAGUGGGGUAUAGUGACACAGUAACAGAGGGAUUGAGGGUCCUGCUCAGUGAGUUUACAUGUUAGAGGGAGUGGGGUAUAGUGACACAGUAACAGAGGGAUUGAGGGCCUGCUCAGUGAGUUUACAUGUUAGAG